AAAACUUGAUAAAAAUCGUGUUUUCAUGAUUCUAGCUAAACAAAUGUAAUUAUAAGUAUUGAAUGCCUCUUUUUGUAACUUUAUAGGGUUGUAAAAGCGUUGACCGUGCGCACAUUUUUAGUAUGAAGCGCUUCCGCGCUUCAUACAAAAUGUACUUCGGUCAACGCUUUUACACCCCAAUAAAUUUACAAAAAGCAGCAUUCAAUUCUUAAAUGAAA
rnacentral:lncRNA from 1 species